rnacentral:rRNA from 1 species
UGCAGUCGAGCGGUAGCACAGAGGAGCUUGCUCCUUGGGUGACGAGCGGCGGACGGGUGAGUAAUGUCUGGGAAACUGCCUGAUGGAGGGGGAUAACUACUGGAAACGGUAGCUAAUACCGCAUAACCUCGCAAGAGCAAAGAGGGGGACCUUAGGGCCUCUCGCCAUCAGAUGUGCCCAGAUGGGAUUAGCUAGUAGGUGAGGUAAUGGCUCACCUAGGCGACGAUCCCUAGCUGGUCUGAGAGGAUGACCAGCCACACUGGAACUGAGACACGGUCCAGACUCCUACGGGAGGCAGCAGUGGGGAAUAUUGCACAAUGGGCGCAAGCCUGAUGCAGCCAUGCCGCGUGUGUGAAGAAGGCCUUCGGGUUGUAAAGCACUUUCAGCGAGGAGGAAGGCGGUAAGGUUAAUAACCUUAUCGAUUGACGUUACUCGCAGAAGAAGCACCGGCUAACUCCGUGCCAGCAGCCGCGGUAAUACGGAGGGUGCAAGCGUUAAUCGGAAUGACUGGGCGUAAAGCGCACGCAGGCGGUCUGUUAAGUUGGAUGUGAAAUCCCCGGGCUUAACCUGGGAACUGCAUUCAAAACUGACAGGCUAGAGUCUUGUAGAGGGGGGUAGAAUUCCAGGUGUAGCGGUGAAAUGCGUAU